rnacentral:rRNA from 1 species
CAGUCGCCGCGGGAAUACGAAGGGUGCAAACGUUGUCCGGAAUUAUUGGGCGUAAAGGGCUCGCAGGCGGUUUCUUAAGUCUGAUGUGAAAGCCCCCGGCUCAACCGGGGAGGGUCAUUGGAAACUGGGAAACUUGAGUGCAGAAGAGGAGAGUGGAAUUCCACGUGUAGCGGUGAAAUGCGUAGAGAUGUGGAGGAACACCAGUGGCGAAGGCGACUCUCUGGUCUGUAACUGACGCUGAGGAGCGAAAGCGUGGGGAGCGAACAGGAUUAGAUACCCAGUAGUCCCUGUCUCUUAUACA